rnacentral:sRNA from 1 species
ACGCUGCCGAAGACAGUAGGUGCCGCAAGGCAUAAGGAUAAAAACGCCUACCGAGGACAAAGUAUUCUUUAUAAGAUUACGUAAGUCUUACUGUCAUGCAGUAGGACUUUUUUUAUA